rnacentral:lncRNA from 1 species
GUGGCAAUUCACUGAUGUGAUGAUAUACAUUACCACAAGGCAGAUGCAGCCACCAAGGGAGCGUCUCAUCCCGUGUCCUGUCGAGGAAGAUGUCCCCACUGGGGCUCUCAUUUUCAACAACUUAGUCUUGACUGCAGUCUUCUUACCAUUUCAGGGUGCAGGCAUCAGACACCGUGGCAAGGACGUGUACCCCAACACAGGAAAAACUAGCCAUACUGUGGUUGUCUCCCAUACAUGGAUGCGUCACUCACUGCUAGCUCUACCUCGGUUGCCCAUCUUAUCACCCACCCAUAGCAGGGACCGUACAGCCAACACAUCUUUGGGCCUGUGGGCCCAUCCCUAUUGGGGCGCUAACUGUGUUGUGUGCUUUCUUCCUGAUAGACCUGCCCAAAUAUCCUUUUACUCCUGAGGCGGGGAUGCUUAUGAUCGAUCAAAUUAAACGAUUCCCACCCAGUUCUGGCUUGAACCAUUGAAAUAACAGGGGUCACUUCUGGGACCCUGGGUGACUCAGGUAGCUGUACCACUGAUUUGUCAAACCCUGCCCGGGUGACAAGUCAUGAAGGCUACGUGACUGGAAUUCCUAGACAACUUACGGGUGGCUCCAUCACAGAUGGCUCUCCUAGAAAAACAGCCAUCACCUCCAUUAGAUCAGCUAUUCCUGCUUGCGGACAUCCAUCACCAUAGGAAUGGAUCCUCACCUGAUAUUCCAGUGACUCCUCCCAGCUACCUGGAUGCAGUUCUGCUCUAAUUGCCCAAGGCUUUGGGGGACUCUAGAAGUGCUAGGGUGUACAGGCUGGGGGAAAUGAAUUGAGAGGGUUCCAUCCAUGUAGAAGCCGUUCUUCAUUUUUGGAUGAAGAGUUCCCAGCAUGGCUGCUUUGGGAUCAGUCGUGCUCCUGUGGCGAACCCCU